rnacentral:rRNA from 1 species
UCAAACGACUCUCGGCAACGGAUAUCUCGGCUCUUGCAUCGAUAAAGAACGUAGCGAAAUGCGAUACUUGGUGUGAAUUGCAGAAUCCCGUGAACCAUCGAGUCUUUGAACGCAAGUUGCGCCCGAGACCAUUAGGUCGAGGGCACGUCUGCCUGGGCGUCACA